AACGUAGGUGGCGAGCGUUAUCCGGAUUUACUGGGCGUAAAGCGUGCGCAGGCGGUUCGCUAAGACAGAUGUGAAAUCCCCGGGCUUAACCUGGGAACUGCGCUUGUGACUGGCGUGCUGGAGUGUGGCAGAGGGAGGUGGAAUUCCACGUGUAGCAGUGAAAUGCGUAGAGAUGUGGAGGAACACCGAUGGCGAAGGCAGCCUCCUGGGCCAGCACUGACGCUCAUGCACGAAAGCGUGGGGAGCAAACAGG
rnacentral:rRNA from 1 species